GUGCUCACUUCAGUAGCACAUAUAUUAAUAUUUGAAUGAUGUAGAAAUUAGUAAAGGCUCUGUGUAAAGAUGACAUGCAAAUUCAUGAAGCAUUCCAUAUUUUU
ensembl:snRNA U6 U6 spliceosomal RNA